rnacentral:rRNA from 1 species
UACGUAGGUGGCGAGCGUUUGUCCGGAUUUACUGGGCGUAAAGAGCGCGCAGGCGGUCGUGCAAGUCGCGUGUGAAAGCCCCCGGCUCCAACUGGGGAGGGUCACGCGAUACUGCUCGACUGGAAGGCAGGAGAGGGAAGUGGAAUUCCCGGUGUAGUGGUGAAAUGCGUAGAUAUCGGGAGGAACACCAGUGGCGAAGGCGGGUCGCUGGGCCGAAAGUGACCGCUGAGGAGCGAAAAGCGUG